AGCCGAAAUCCGCCCCAGGCGGAUCCACCCGGCACUGGCCGGUAGGGUGCUGAUGAGGUAGGCCAAC
rnacentral:hammerhead_ribozyme from 1 species